CGGAAGUCCUAAGGGGGACCGUUUGUGGGACGGACCGGCUGACGGACAGUUCCGGAUCUAGAAGUUGCUCAGUGCGGCGGCGUGCACAAAUCGGGUUCUCCGGGCCUCGCGUGGGAAUCAAAUUCCAUGACAAGAAAUAACAUUGCGGCGAAACAACACCCAAGUGGGAGUUACAAAGUCUGCUGUUAACUAGUUGCAUGUCAUUUCGAUCAGGAAGAUGAGGCCCAUACAAAAAAAGUAACUUGCUCAACCAAUCAAGAUACCAACACUUGAUGGUGUAUCCCACAGCAGCAGAAACAUGAAUCAGAAGCUGCUAAAGUUGGAGAACUUGCUACGAUUUCACAUGAUUUAUAGGCAACUGCACGGCUUGGAUCAGAGAAGAAUAUUAGCACAGUGGAAGCAUGGGUUUUCAUCUGCUUCCCCAGGGUGGGCAGCUCAGCCACAUGCCUGGCCCUGGCAGACAGAUGUGUUCCUUGGUACUGCUUUAUCUCAGUAUAGGUUUCUAGUAACUAAGAAGGAAAAAAGACCCUGGAAACCUCAGUUAUCUUCAACAAAAUCUAAAAAAGAAGUAGCAGUAUGGAUUGGAAUGACUGUCGAGGAAUUGGCCAGAGCAAUGGAAAAAGACGUAGAUUUCGUGUAUGAAGGUUUAUUGAACACUGCUGUUGACAUUGAUUCUCUAGAAGCACGCUCACGUUUAGAUGAAGUCUGGAUCAAAGAAGUGAUAAAGAAAGCAGGGAUGAAACUGAAGUGGAGCAAAUUAAAACAGGACAAAGUCAGAGAAAACAGAGAUGCUGUCAGAAGGCCACAGGCAGAUCCAGCUUUAUUAAUCCCAAGGUCCCCAGUUGUUACUAUAAUGGGCCAUGUUGAUCAUGGGAAAACGACGUUACUUGACAAACUUCGAAAAACUCAAGUGGCAGCAAUGGAAGCUGGAGGCAUCACUCAGCACAUUGGUGCCUUUCUUGUCUCUCUGCCUUCUGGGGAAAAGGUAACUUUUCUGGAUACUCCAGGACAUGCUGCCUUCUCAGCAAUGAGAGCCAGAGGUGCUCGGGUCACUGACAUUGUUGUGUUGGUUGUGGCUGCAGAUGAUGGGGUGAUGAAACAAACUAUAGAAUCUAUUAAUCAUGCCAGAGAUGCUCAAGUUCCUAUUGUUCUUGCAAUAAACAAAUGUGACAAAGCUAAGGCUGACCCUGAAAAAGUGAAGAAAGAUCUGCUGGCUUAUGACGUGGUGUGUGAAGACUAUGGAGGGGAGGUGCAAGCAGUGCAUGUGUCUGCACUUACGGGUGAAAAUCUGAUGUCUUUGGCAGAAGCAACAAUUACUCUUGCAGAAAUGUUAGAAUUGAAAGCAGAUCCCAGUGGUCCAGUGGAAGGAACAGUAAUAGAGUCUUUCACAGACAAAGGACGAGGUCCUGUUACAACAGCUAUAAUUCAAAGAGGAACUUUGAGAAAAGGCUCAAUUCUGGUUGCUGGAAAGAGUUGGGCAAAAGUACGCCUAAUGUUUGAUGAAAAUGGAAAAACAGUCCAUGAGGCUUAUCCCAGCAUGCCAGUAGGAAUCAUAGGCUGGAGAGACCUUCCUUCUGCAGGAGAUGAGAUUAUUGAAGUCGAGUCUGAGGCACGGGCACGGGAAGUCAUUGAUUGGAGAAAGUUUGAGCAAGAACAGGAAAAAAGUAAAGAUGACCUGAAAAUAAUAGAAGAAAAGCGAAAGGAACACCAAGAAGCGUAUCAGAAAGUCCGAGAGAAGUAUGGCACUUUGCUUUGGAAGGAGCGAGCAUUCAUCAAGUACUUAGAAAGGAAAGAGCAGAAACACUUGAGGCCAAAAGAGAAAGCAAAAAGAGAUUCAAAUGUACUUCCUGUAAUUAUUAAAGGUGACGUUGAUGGUUCUGUUGAGGCCAUUUUGGACAUAAUAGAUACCUAUGAUGCUUCACAUGAAUGUGAACUGGAAUUGGUACAUUUUGGAGUAGGUGAUAUUAGUGAAAAUGAUAUCAACUUUGCUGAAACAUUUGAUGGUAUUAUAUAUGGUUUCAAUGUGAAUGUAAGCAAUAUCAUCCAGCAGUCAGCUGCAAAAAAAGGAGUAAAAAUUAAACUUCACAAAAUCAUUUACCGUCUUAUUGAAGAUUUGCAAGGAGAACUGAGCAACAGAAUGCCCAGCACUGUGGAGGAACACCCGGUAGGUGAAGCUUCUGUGUUAGCUACUUUCUCUGUAACUGAAGGAAAAAGAAAAAUUCCUGUGGCUGGUUGCAGAGUUCAAAAGGGACAGUUGGAGAAACAAAAAAAAUUUAAAUUAAUGCGUAAUGGACACGUUAUUUGGAAGGGCCACUUUUAACUGUUUUGUAGUUGGACUUCCUGCUUGUGUGUGCAACUGGGAACUAAACUCAGAACCUUUGCACUGAGGUUCAUUAACUUCACUGAAACAUCAUAAAGAUGAUAUUUCAGUCAUCAAAACUGGAAUGGAAUGUGGUCUCAGUUUAGAUGAAGAAAAAAUAGAAUUUAAAGUGGGAGAUGAAAUUGUUUGUUACGAAGAAAAGGAAGUUCUAGCUAAGACUUCUUGGGACCCAGGAUUUUAAAAUUACAUUAAAAAUCUCAACUAAA